GACGAACGCUGGCGGCGUGCCUAAUACAUGCAAGUAGAACGCUGAAGAGAGGAGCUUGCUCUUCUUGGAUGAGUUGCGAACGGGUGAGUAACGCGUAGGUAACCUGCCUUGUAGCGGGGGAUAACUAUUGGAAACGAUAGCUAAUACCGCAUAACAAUGGAUGACACAUGUCAUUUAUUUGAAAGGGGCAAUUGCUCCACUACAAGAUGGACAUGCGUUGUAUUAGCUAGUAGGUGAGGUAAUGGCUCACCUAGGCGACGAUACAUAGCCGGCCUGAGAGGGUGAUCGGCCACACUGGGACUUGGACACGGCCCAGACUCCUACGGGAGGCAGCAGUAGGGAAUCUUCGGCAAUGGGGGCAACCCUGACCGAGCAACGCCGCGGGAGGGAAGAAGGUUUUCGGAUCGGAAAGCUCUGUUGUAAGACAAGAACGGGUGUGGGAGUGGAAAGUUCACACUGUGACGGUAGCUGACCAGAAAGCGACGGCUAACUACGUG
rnacentral:rRNA from 1 species